rnacentral:rRNA from 1 species
ACGCGGCGGCGUGCUUAACACAUGCAAGUCGAACGAAGAGCGAUGGAAGCUUGCUUCCAUCAAUCUUAGUGGCGAACGGGUGAGUAACGCGUAAUCAACCUGCCCUUCAGAGGGGGACAACAGUUGGAAACGACUGCUAAUACCGCAUACGAUCUAACCUUGGCAUCGAGGAUGGAUGAAAGGUGGCCUCUAUUUAUAAGCUAUCACUGAAGGAGGGGAUUGCGUCUGAUUAGCUAGUUGGAGGGGUAACGGCCCACCAAGGCGAUGAUCAGUAGCCGGUCUGAGAGGAUGAACGGCCACAUUGGGACUGAGACACGGCCCAGACUCCUACGGGAGGCAGCAGUGGGGAAUCUUCCGCAAUGGACGAAAGUCUGACGGAGCAACGCCGCGUGAGUGAUGACGGCCUUCGGGUUGUAAAGCUCUGUUAAUCGGGACGAAAGGGCCUUCUGCGAAUAGUAGAAAGGAAUUGACGGUACCCGGAAUAAAAAGC